rnacentral:rRNA from 1 species
UUGAACGCUGGCGGCAUGCCUUACACAUGCAAGUCGAACGGCAGCGGGCCCUUCGGGGUGCCGGCGAGUGGCGAACGGGUGAGUAAUGCAUCGGAACGUGCCCAGAGGUGGGGGAUAACGCAGCGAAAGCUGUGCUAAUACCGCAUGUGAUCUGAGGAUGAAAGCGGGGGACCAAGCAGCAAUGUUUGGCCUCGCGCCUCUGGAGCGGCCGAUGUCAGAUUAGGUAGUUGGUGGGGUAAAGGCCUACCAAGCCGACGAUCUGUAGCUGGUCUGAGAGGACGACCAGCCACACUGGGACUGAGACACGGCCCAGACUCCUACGGGAGGCAGCAGUGGGGAAUUUUGGACAAUGGGCGCAAGCCUGAUCCAGCAAUGCCGCGUGCGGGAAGAAGGCCUUCGGGUUGUAAACCGCUUUUGGUAGGAACGAAAAGCUCUGGGCUAAUACCCUGGGGUGAUGACGGUACCUGCAGAAUAAGCACCGGCUAACUACGUG